CCGGAUUUUCUUCUACCUAUUCCACGUACCAGAAUUAGAUUACAUGAGAAUACAAAAAAUGUAAGCAAACACUUUUUUCUUCUGCAGAACAAUAGAUGAGGUUAAUUAACUUUGGUGCUUCUCUCUUUGCAAAGCAUGUGCCACUCCUGGAGUACAGCUGCUUGAAGAGCCAUGUGCUCAACCUCCUCUGCAGUCAGCCUUGAUAAGGUUGAUGAUCCUUUGGGUUUACCAUCUUUCUUUUCCUUGUUCUUUUCCUCCUUAUCCUUAUCUUCCUCAGGUUCCUCUUCAUCAUCAGAUUCUGGAGAUUUAGGAGGUGGUUCGGCUGCUUUUAGCAAGGCUAUCCGUUCCAUUGAAAUCCUAAGCCUCUCAGCUGCAGCCUCCUUCACUUCAUCUUCAGGCAUGUACUCCACACCCCCGUCAGUAAGGUCAUCCAACCAACCCUGUAA
rnacentral:misc_RNA from 1 species